CACAAAAGUCGAUCAAACAAAAUACCAACUAAAGUUUCUAAUAAAACUAAGUUAAAAUUCAUUUUCUCGAUGGGUUGUGAGUCGUGUAAAGAUCCGGAGUGCUGCUCAAUAUUCUAUUCAUGCUGGUGCAUAGGCGUUGGUUUCCUGUGGUCUAUUCAGGCGUUGAUCGGCGUGAUAGUGAAUACUAAAGCUUUGGUAGUGGCGAUUUACAGCAUUAGUUUUUUUUUCGCCUUCAUUUAUGCUGUAGCUGGAUUUUUGCUUUAUUUGGGAAUACGCAAAAAAUCUAAACUUUCUUUUAAAAUAGGAAAGGUUUUAUCAUAUAUCUUUCCAAUCAUCGCAUUUUACCUAAUAUUUCCUAUGGUUGUUCAUUUUGUCUGCAUUUUUAAAUUGUGCAAAUAUAUGAGGGAUACCUGGCCUCCAAGGUGAUUUGCAGUACGUUGUAUAAACAGAGCGUUAAGGAUAAAAUUGAAAGUGUAUAUUGGAUUAUUACAAAUAUAUUUUAACUAAAUUA